UAUUGCUCUUGAACGAGGAAUCCCUAGUAAGUACAAGUCACUAGCUUGUGCUGAUUACGUCCCUGCCCUUUGUACACACCGCCCGUCGCUACUACCGAUUGAAUGGCUUAGUGAGGCCUUCGGAUUGAAAUUCGGAGACUGGCAACAGACUCUUGGUUUUGAAAAGUUGGACAAACUUGGUCAUUUAGAGGAAGUAAAAGUCGUAACAAGGUUUCCGUAGGUGAACCUGCGGAAGGAUCAUUACCGAUUUUUAGCGGACCUGAUCUUUGAUCAUGGUCUCGCGAAAACUUGUAUUUAAAACCCCACUCUUAUAAAUUGAAUCAUUUUAUAUUAUGUAUGUAAUAAAUAAAGAUCACUUUCAACAACGGAUCUCUUGGCUCUCGCAUCGAUGAAGAACGUAGCGAAGUGCGAUAAGUAAUGUGAAUUGCAGAAUUCCGUGAAAUCAAUCGAAUUCUUGGAACGCAAAUGGCCCUCUCUGGGUAACGGGGAGAUAUGCCGGUUGAGGGUUCAGUGUAAAUAAAAAUCGGUGCGUGCAUUUUGGGGUGUUCCGGAGUUGGAGUUAUCUUAUCUCUGGUUUAAGGAGGCUAAAAGUUGACCUCUUUGUGCAUCUAGACGUACAAUAAAUUUUUGUUUAUUCGUUAUCUAAUGCCAAAAUCUAUUAGAUGCGACCCAUAUCGUGUGGUUCCGUGUCUAUAAAUUUUUCAUGAUUGGACCUCAAAUCAGGUAGGAACACCGCUGACUUAAGCAUAUCAAUAAGCGGAGGAAAAGAAAAUAACAAUGAUUCCCUAGUAACUGCGAGUGAAGAGGGACAAGCUCAAAUUUUAAAUCUAUCGGGUUUUACCUGAUCGAGUUGUAAUUUGAAGAAGCGUUUUUCUGCGUAUUUGGUCAGCCUAAGUCCUAUUGAAUGAGGCAUCAUGGAGGGUGAUAAUCCCGUCCGGUUGAUCAUUUGCGUUUUACGAUACGCUUUCUAAGAGUCAAGUUGUUUGGGAUUGCAGCUUAAAAUGGGAGGUAAAUUUCUCCUAAGGCUAAAUAACGGCGAGAGACCGAUAGCGAACAAGUACCGUGAGGGAAAGAUGAAAAGAACUUUGAAAAGAGAGUUAAACAGUACGUGAAAUUGUUGAAAGGGAAACGAUUGAAGCCAGUCGUACCUUCGGGUAAUCAGCCUUUCGGGUGCGAUUCUGUGGAGUGUGAGGAGCUUAAACACCUUCAUGUGCAUAUUCGUACUCUGUGUACUUGCGUGUGGUUGGUUAACAUCAAUGGUGGUCAUAUGACUGAAUGUAGCUUCGAUCUGUAUUGAAGUGUUAUAGCCUUCGGUAGAUGUGAUGAUCGAGAUUGAGGAUUGCAACGGAUACCCUUCGCUACCUGUCUGGUCUCUGAUCGUUGCUCUGGUGCCGAAAGCUUGCUUACGGUUAUCAGUCGAUGGUCAAUAGGUUAGAACGGGUUAAAUUCGUUAAGGAGGUUGACGUAAUGGCUUUAAACGACCCGUCUUGAAACACGGACCAAGGAGUCUAACAUAUAUGCGAGUGUUU
rnacentral:rRNA from 1 species